AAGAACAUGUGUCUCCAGACAUUGCUAAGCAGUGUCCCAGCCUACUUCCCUUGGCAGUAUUAAGUUUGGCAUCCACACAGACAGUGGGAACUAGGGAAACAAAGGAGUGAAGAUGAUAAAGGCACAUGGACAAAGGUUGACAUGAUUUUCAAAAAAGGGUGAAGAAAUAGGAUUCCAGAAACCUCUGAUAACGAAACAUGACCUUUGUCCCAGGCUGAAUUUUAAUGGCAACUAGUUAAAGGUGGUUGGAAAGCACUUGGAAAAGGGAGAGGUGAUAACUGGGAGCAAGGACAGGUCCAUUAAGAUGAAGUCAUAGCCAAAGAUCAUCCAGUGUCUGUUGGGCUGAAGACGAGGGAUUGCCACGGGCAUGAAGUACACUGAUCUCAACAAGACUCUUGGCAAAGUCUCCAGCAGUCUCCUUGAGAGGCAGAGACACAUGGGCUGAACCCAUAGCUCCUCAAACACCAGUGUGUGCAUGCCCAGCUUAACACUGCCCUGCCCAAGGCUGAUUCACUGUCAUGCCAUUUAUUUCUGAGAUAUUCUCUUUAAAUGCUCAUGUAUAACUAUAAUGAUGAUAGCUGACAUGUAAAAUGCCCGCUGUGAGGUAGGCAUUGUUUAAAGUGAUUUAAUCCUUACACAAGCAAUCUGAGAAGGCGUUAUCAUGAUUGCUAUUUAACAGUAGAAGAAAUUGAGGAUUGCGAUCUGAAGUGACUUAUACAAGGUCACAUAGUUAGUAAGUGGGUUCUGGAACUGUAUUUUGAACUGAGGUGGUUUGGCUCUAGAUACAAGUUCUUUACACUGCCUCCCAACCCCUACUUCCAUGCUUCACACGCUCUAGAAUGAUCCUAGCCAGCAGGACUUUAGCGUGCCCGAUGAAUGAGCAUCCGCUCAUGGUUAUGCAAUGGUCUAAGGUAGAACUUGACCUAUAAUGCAUCCACCCUUAAGGGAUUCAUGGGUAGAAUUCACAGGGUUCUAUAAACUUGAAUUGCUUCUAGUAUUUACUCACAAAAUCCCUCGCAAAAAGGUAACAUUUCCUUCAGUUACAAACAUGGACAACAAACCACAGUAGUAUCAGCAGCAUGUGUGAAAUUGCCACCGGUAGAAAUUCGAUAUUUUUAUAUCACCUUGUUGUUGUAGAUAUCUCAAAACAUCAUUUAUGUUCAUCAUUUACGUUCAAAUUAUAGUGAUUAUUAGACCUGCCACCAGAUCGCAUCAUUUACUUAGUUUUAACAAAAACACAUGCAUUAUAAUAUCACACUAUUUACAUGUUAUAACUGUACUGCAAUGUAACUGUGUUCCUUUGUAACUCUUCACAUUUUGUGUUAUGAAUUUAAAGCCUUAUUUGGAGAGGGCGUCUCUGGGCUUCAUCAGACUGCUGGAAGGCAGAGCCCGGUCCUGUGGCGUCCAAAUUGACUUAUGCCACAAGGUGUGUGGUUUAUGCCAUGACGGCUCCCAUUUAUGACAUGUGUUUCAUGCCCAGGCAAAUAGUUAUGAUUCAUAAUGGCUGACAAGAGGUAAACAAGUGAUAGUUCUGGACCAACCACAAGGAGACAAAGGAAACAUAGAAAUGAAAAUAUGCUUUCUGUGGUAGCAGCUAACAUUGCCUUUAAGGGCAUAGUAGUAGGAGUACAGAGUUCAGAUCAGCAGGAAGUAGGGAUCAAGGGAAAUCUUUGGACAUUCUCAAAGACCUCAUAAACAUCACUCUAGCCUGGGAGGGUUGGCCAACAGUGUAUGAAGAGUGGCUGUAAAAAUACUCAUAGAAGCCAAUAAAGCUUUCAGACUUUGUCCUACACAGUGAGCCACUGUCCCAGAUGAAUCCGUAAUGGCCACUAUCAGCAGAGCUCUGAGAAUCUACCAGAUGCCACUUCACCAAUUGUAGGGAGAAGACAGAGGAGCCUGAGGGCAUCAGGGAGGUUCAGAGUGAGAAGAGUAUGGUAUUUUCCUUUGAGAACAGGGCUUCAGAUGUCAGCUUUGCACCUGGAUAAGCUGUGGCAUCUCAGGAAAGUGACUUCACCUCUCCAAAUAUUACUCUCCUCAUCUGUAUUGUUAAAGAGGGGUGAGAAGGUUACAUGUCAAGCUGAGAGAUAAAAGGAGGCCAAUAAACGUUAGUCUUCCUUA